CCCUUAGAUGUUCUGGGCCGCACGCGCGCUACACUGACGAAUGCAACGAGCUUAUAACCUUGGCCGAAAGGUCUGGGUAAUCUCCAAAUUUCGUCGUGAUGGGGAUAGAUUAUUGCAAUUAUUAAUCUUCAACGAGGAAUGCCUAGUAAGCGCAAGCCAUCAGCUUGCGUUGAUUACGUCCCUGCCCUUUGUACACACCGCCCGUCGCUCCUACCGAUUGAAUGGUCCGGUGAAGCGCUCGGACCGCGGCCUCUUGACGGUUUUCCGUCGAUUGGCUGUGGGAAGUUCGUUAAACCUUAUCAUUUAGAGGAAGGAGAAGUCGUAACA
rnacentral:rRNA from 1 species